UCACCUAAUGGUGACUGUGAUGAAAAAAUAAUAUGAAAAUAAGAGACUGUCUAGUUAUUUUGCUCUUUAUCUUCACGAGACCAAGCUCGCUCUUGUCGAACGCGUUUGAGAUGUCGCAUACUUUCACGAACUCCAAAUCCAUGUUUAAGCAGCUCCCCAAUUUCUUCGAUGGUAUAAUCGGUUAAAUCAGGAUAGCAGAAAAGUGCACCAAGCCAUCCUAAAAAGCAAAGGCCUCCAUAAAGGGCAAACGUUCCUGUGGGUGUUAUUUCACUCAUCAAUGUUAAGAACGAAGCACCUAUACCAAGAUUACCAGCCCAGUUAACAGCAGUAGACAUGCCAGUGCCUAGACCUCUAACGGACAUAGGAAAAAGCUCGGAUUGUUGCCAAGGGAGAUUUCCAAGUCCAGAGGCAUACGACGCAACGUAAACAAUCAUCGAAAUUAAAACAACGAUAGCCCAAGCAUUUGAUUGACCAGAAGUAUAAUUGCCAUUCUCGUCUUUCGGCAAAAAAUGAAAAGCCACCGCGCAUACAAUUAAAGCAGCAAUCAUUCCCCAUACGGUCAACAGGAGCAAGAUUCUUCGACCAAAAAAAUCAAUCACACCAAAGGCAACAAUGGUAAAUACAAAAUUAGUAGCUGCAAUGAUAAGACCAGUAGCAGUAGGAUUGUUAAAGCCAACAACCUCAAAAAUAGUACUAGAAAAAUACAUUAAUGAAUUAAAUCCGGAAAGUUGUUGCAUCGCUUGCAGUCCGCAAGCCAGUAUCAAUGCACGGAAAUUUGAAGGAUUGAAAUAUAAUUCUUUAAAAGUUUUCACAAUCUUUUGCCAUCUAGAUCCUGAAAAAGGAUCACGAACUCCUUCUUGAAUUAAAUAGAGCUUAGUCUUUAUUUCGUAAGGGUGAGCAGUAGGAUAGAUUCGAGCCAGAGUGUUAUAAGCCUCCUGAGAUCUUUCUUUUUUAACUAACAAACGAGGAGAUUCGGGUAGCCAAAUAAGAAUGAAUAAUUGGAAAGCUGCAGGAACCAUUGCUAAACCAACCAUCCAGCGCCAACCAUUAUGGACGUGUUCAAAAGCUGUAUCAAUUCCAUAGGCAAUUACUUGACCAGCUGUAAUUAAUAAAACAUAUAUGAUAACCAACCUUCCGCGUAUUUUAGACGGAGCGAUUUCACUUAGGUACAAAGGAAUAAUAAGUGAUGCAAUGCCAACGCCCCAACCGAUAACAAAGCGACCUACAAUCAUAUGCCAAAGAUGGUGAGCCGUAACCUGUACUAUGGAACCAACUAUGAUGAUGAUACUAGCUAUUGCAAUUACCGGUUUUCUACCAAAAAAGUCGGCAAGGGCACCAGCAAUUAUCCCUCCUAAAAGUGCACCAAGAGAUGUUGCAGAGGUGAUAAAUUCUUUACCACCAUUUGUUAAUUCAUGUCCGCCCAAGCUAGUACCUAUAACUACAAGAGCACCUGAAAUGACACCUGUAUCAUAGCCAAACAGUAGACCACCGAUACCGGCAGCAAAAGCAAGCACCCAAACCCAUUUGCUAACUGGUUGAUCUUCAACAGUGUCGUUAAGUGCGUGUGGCUCAGAUAAAGAAAUGUUAGAAUUGCUGCGACUUCGAGCUCCGUUAGAUAAUCUAGACACGCUGUCCACAGGAAGCACCUGGGUUUUGUUUUCAAAAACCGAGGAUUCAAAUGGACUUUUUUUAUCAGCAGCAAAUGUAUCGGCAGCGAAAGUAUCAUCAGCGAAACCCGCUGACGUUACAUUUUGAAAAUCCUUGGAAGAGAUUGACAUCUUGCUGAAACUUUUGAAUGUAAA
rnacentral:lncRNA from 1 species